rnacentral:misc_RNA from 1 species
AACUGAAGUAUACUGUGGGGACGAAAGUCCUCGCUUUGAAACUAGAUAACAACUUUCAGCAGUGGAUGUCUAGGCUCGCACAUCGAUGAAGAACGCUGCGAACUGCGAUACGUAAUGCGAAUUGCAGGAUUCAGUGAGUCAUCGAACUUUUGAACGCAUAUUGCACUUUCGGGUUACGCCUGGAAGUAUGUCUGUAUCAGUGUCCGUACACUAAACUUGCGUCUCUUCCGUCGUGUAGUCGUCGGUUGUUUGAUUGCAGAUGUGAGGUUGUCUCGCGAUGCACCUUUAUUGGAUGGGUUGCGAGUCCCUUUAAAGUCGGACGCGUUUUUUCCGUUUUGUGCUUGAUGGGGUGCGGCUGCGGCCGUGUCUGCUGGCGGGUCCGGUGACCUUUGGCGAUGGCAUGAGAGUGGAUUGCUCGAUUUGCGGUAUGUUAGGCUUCGGCUUUGACAAUGCAGCUUAUUGAGUGUGUUCGCUUGGCUGUUGCUGUAUGGGUGAGCUGGAUGGUCGGUGGGUGCGUUGUUGCGUGUCGUUUUCAUGGAGUGCGUUUCGGUUGUCGUCCCCAUUUGGGAAUUUAAUGUUUUGAGUCUCGAUUCAAUACAUCUCA